UACGGGGGGGGCAAGCGUUGUUCGGAAUUACUGGGCGUAAAGGGCUCGUAGGCGGCCAACUAAGUCAGACGUGAAAUCCCUCGGCUUAACCGGGGAACUGCGUCUGAUACUGGAUGGCUUGAGGUUGGGAGAGGGAUGCGGAAUUCCAGGUGUAGCGGUGAAAUGCGUAGAUAUCGGGAAGAACACCCGUGGCGAAGGCGGCUCUCUGGGACGGUACUGACGCUGAGACGCGAAAGCGUGGGGAGCGAACAGG
rnacentral:rRNA from 1 species